UUUUAAGAAACUAAUUAAUAGUUAUUCACUGUUAAUGAACAUAAGAGUUAUACUCCUUAAAAU
rnacentral:tRNA from 1 species